GGACAAUAACUCUGCACAGAAAUUAGUGGUAAAAAAUCAUCUAGAUUCUUACGUAUCUAAAUAUUUUUUUUUCUUAAUUCCUUUUUUUAUUUUUCAGAUUAAAUGAACACAGGAAAUUUUUACUUUUCCUUAUUAAGUGACAAGCAAAAGAAGCAUCUAUGAGAGGAAAUUCUUUUUCAUAUCAACCACAAGUUCUGUUUGCAGACUUGAAUAUAUUUUUCUGACUGGAGUUUUUAAGGGGUUCUUCUGAAGUGCUUUACGAUAUUGAACAGAAAUAUUUGCAUGUGCUUUGCUAUUAUUGUUGUGGUUAUCUAGAAUGCUUGACAGGAGUUUUAUGUGUGAACAGCAGAUCAAGCAAUUAUAGAAUGUAAUUCUAAAAAGUGUUUGCUCAAGGUAUGCACCCCCUUGAAAUGUUUUAUGGAGUAGAUCCCCAUCCUGUCCGUGGUAAGAAAUAUGAAGAUGUCCUUUUUCUAGGCUUGCAACAAGUGACACUGUGACAUGUCAGUGAGUGAAGCACUUGGCAUACUGUGUUUAUGCGUCUCAGGUCUCCUGGCACUCCAUCACAUCUUCUUCAAGCAAACUAUGAGAAGACAAGACAGAAGUCAUGGUACAACAGAGGCCUGAAGCAACCAUCCACCUUAGAACAUUAGAAAGACUCUAUGUUUUAAAGGCUUACCAGCCCUGUGUCAGCAACUGGUUGGUGUCUGUCUUCACGGAUUCUGCAAAAGGACAAAAGCAGAGACUUUGGGAAAUGUGCUUUGAGCUCCAGAACAGGGUACUUACCUUCUAG
rnacentral:lncRNA from 1 species